CCUACGGGUGGCAGCAGUGGGGAAUAUUGCGCAAUGGGCGAAAGCCUGACGCAGCGACGCCGCGUGAGGGAUGAAGGUCUUCGGAUCGUAAACCUCUGUCAGCAGGGAAGAACGGACACUGUGCUAAUCAGCAGUGAGUUGACGGUACCUGCAAAGGAAGCAUCGGCUAACUCCGUGCCAGCAGCCGCGGUAAUACGGAGGGUGCGAGCGUUAAUCGGAAUUACUGGGCGUAAAGCGCUGGUAGGUGGUAUGUCAAGUCAAAGGUUAAAUCCCCGGGCUCAACGUCGGCACUGCCUUUGAAACUGGCAGACUGGAGUGUGUGAGAGGAUUGUGGAAUUCCAGGUGU
rnacentral:rRNA from 1 species